GAUGAACGCUGGCGGCGUGCCUAAUACAUGCAAGUCGAGCGAACGGACGAGAAGCUUGCUUCUUUGUUGUUAGCGGCGGACGGGUGAGUAACACGUGGAUAACCUACCUAUAAGACUGGGAUAACUUCGGGAAACCGGAGCUAAUACCGGAUGAUAUUUUGAACCGCAUGGUUCAAAAGUGAAAGACGGUCUUGCUGUCACUUAUAGAUGGAUCCGCGCUGCAUUAGCUAGUUGGUAAGGUAACGGCUUACCAAGGCAACGAUGCAUAGCCGACCUGAGAGGGUGGUCGGCCACACGGGAACUGGGACACGGUCCAGACUCCUACGGGAGGCAGCAGUAGGGAACCGUCGGCAAUGGGGGAAAGCCUGACGCAGCAACGCCGCGUGCGUGAUGAAGGUCUUCGGAUCGUAAAACUCUGUUAUUGGGGAAGAACAUAUGUGUAAUUAAAUGUGCACAUCUUGACGGUACCUAAUCAGAAAGCCACGGCUAACUACGUG
rnacentral:rRNA from 1 species